rnacentral:rRNA from 1 species
AGAGUUUGAUCCUGGCUCAGAACGAACGCUGGCGGCAGGCUUAACACAUGCAAGUCGAACGGUUGUAGCAAUACAGCAGUGGCGCACGGGUGAGUAACGCGUGGGAACGUACCUUAAAGUUCGGAAUAACUUCGGGAAACUGAAGCUAAUACCGGAUACGCCCUUCGGGGGAAAGAUUUAUCGCUUUAAGAUCGGCCCGC